GGGCUCAUAGCUCAGUUGGUUAGAGCAGAGGACUCAUAAUCCUUUGGUCCCAGGUUCGAGUCCUGGUGGGCCCACCA
rnacentral:tRNA from 4 species